AUUGAACGCUGGCGGCAUGCCUUACACAUGCAAGUCGAACGGUAACAGGUCUUCGGAUGCUGACGAGUGGCGAACGGGUGAGUAAUACAUCGGAACGUGCCUAGUAGUGGGGGAUAACUACUCGAAAGACUGGCUAAUACCGCAUGAGACCUACGGAUGAAAGCAGGGGAUCGCAAGACCUUGCGCUACUGGAGCGGCCGAUGGCAGAUUAGGUAGUUGGUGGGAUAAAAGCUUACCAAGCCGACGAUCUGUAGCUGGUCUGAGAGGACGAUCAGCCACACUGGGACUGAGACACGGCCCAGACUCCUACGGGAGGCAGCAGUGGGGAAUUUUGGACAAUGGGCGCAAGCCUGAUCCAGCAAUGCCGCGUGCAGGAUGAAGGCCUUCGGGUUGUAAACUGCUUUUGUACGGAACGAAAAGCCCUGGGUUAAUACCCUGGGGUCAUGACGGUACCGUAAGAAUAAGCACCGGCUAACUACGUGCCAGCCGCCGCGGUAAAAC
rnacentral:rRNA from 1 species